AUACAGAGGGUGCGAGCGUUACUCGGAAUUACUGGGCGUAAAGCGCGCGUAGGCGGCUUUUCAAGUCGAUUGUGAAAUCCCCGGGCUUAACCUGGGAACUGCAGUCGAGACUGUCUAGCUAGAGUAUGGGAGAGGGAAGUGGAAUUUCAGGUGUAGCGGUGAAAUGCGUAGAUAUCUGAAGGAACAUCAGUGGCGAAAGCGACUUCCUGGACCAAUACUGACGCUCAUGUGCGAAAGCGUGGGGAGCAAACAGGA
rnacentral:rRNA from 1 species